UACGUAGGUGACAAGCGUUUUUUUUUUAUCCGGAUUUAUUUGGGCGUAAAGCGCACGCAGGCGGUCUAUCAAGUCUGACGUGAAAUCUCUCGGCUUUAACCGGGAGCGGUCGUUGGAAACUGAUGGACUUUGAGGCGAUGAGAGGGGUGUGGAAUUCCCGGUGUAGUGGUGGAAUGCGUAGAUAUCGGGAGGAACAUCAGUGGCGAAAGCGGCACCCUGGCAUUAGCCUUGACGCUCAUGUGCGAAAGCGUGGGGAGCGAACGGG
rnacentral:rRNA from 1 species